UCCGAGUUGACCCCGGCAGUCUCCUAUGAGUCCCCGACAUUACUCGCUGGCAACAUAGGACGAGGGUUGCGCUCGUUGCGGGACUUAACCCAACAUCUCGCGACACGAGCUGACGACAGCCAUGCACCACCUGUAUAGGGCCCUUACGGACCUCAUAUCUCUAUGAGUUUUCCCUAUAUGUCAAGCCUUGGUAAGGUUCUUCGUGUUGCAUCGAAUUAAACCGCAUGCUCCGCCGCUUGUGCGGGCCCCCGUCAAUUCCUUUGAGUUUUAGCCUUGCGGCCGUACUCCCCAGGCGGGGCACUUAAUGCGUUAGCUACGGCACGGAGUCCGUUGAAUAGACCCCACACCUAGUGCCCAACGUUUACGGCGUGGACUAC
rnacentral:misc_RNA from 1 species